UCAAGAGACUAAGAGCACACGGUGGAUGCCUUGGCACCAAGAGCCGAUGAAGGACGUGGGCGGCUGCGAUAAGCCCGGGGGAAGUGCUGACCAACUUAUGAUCCCGGGAUUUCCGAAUGGGGAAACCUGCGCAUGGUAGUGCGUGCGUACUCCUGCCUGAAUAUAUAGGGCAGGUAGAGGCAAGCUGGGGAACUGAAACAUCUUAGUACCCAGAGGAAAGGAAAGAAAUCUCGACUCCCUGAGUAGUGGCGAGCGAAAAGGGAAGAGCCCAAACCAAUGUGACGUGAUAGGCGGUAGCCGUUUUCACAUUGGGGUUGUAGGACCUUUCAUGAUCUGUCUACCGGCAGGUCGGGAAGUUACAAAAUCUUUCGUUAGCGGAAAUGAAUGGAAAUUCAUGCCACAGAGGGUAAUAGUCCCGUACGCGAAAACGUGAGAUCUUCCUCGAGAGGCACCUGAGUACGGCCGGGCACGGGAAACCCGGUCGGAACCCGCGGGGACCACCCCGCAAGGCUAAGUACUCCUUGGUGACCGAUAGUGAACUAGUACCGUGAGGGAAAGGUGAAAAGUACCCCGGAAGGGGAGUGAAAUAGCACCUGAAACCGUGUGCUUACAAGCGGUCGGAGCGGCUUCGUGCCGUGACGGCGUGCUUUUUGCAUAACGAGCCAGCGAGUUGCUCUUCAACGGCAAGGUUAAGGAAACGUAGCCAUAGCGAAAGCGAGUCUUAAUAGGGCGUUUAGUCGUUGGAGGCAGACCCGAAACUGAGUGAUCUAUCCAUGGGCAGGUUGAAGCGGGGGUAAGACCUCGUGGAGGACCGAACCGACUUCGGUUGAAAACGGAGCGGAUGACCUGUGGAUCGGAGUGAAAGGCUAAUCAAACUCAGAGAUAUCUGGUUCUCCCCGAAAUAUAUUUAGGUAUAGCGUCACGCGUUCAAUUUCGGUUGUAGAGCACUGUUUGGCCUAGGGGGCUUACCCGCUUACCGAAGUCAGGCAAACUCCGAAUGCCGUAAUUCCAGAGCGUGGCAGUCAGAGUGCGGGGGAUAAGCUUCGUGCUCGAAAGGGAAACAGCCCAGACCGUCGGCUAAGGCCCCUAAUUUCUAGCUAAGUGGGAAACGAUGUCCGAUUGCACAGACAACCAGGAUGUUGGCUCAGAAGCAGCCAUCAUUAAAAGAGUGCGUAAUAGCUCACUGGUCAAGUGGUCGGGCGCGGAUAAUGUAUCGGGGCUCAAGCUAGAAGCCGAAGCCACGGACUUCACGCGUAAGCGUGGAGUGGUAGGGGAGCAUUCUCAAUCCAGCGAAGCAGCGGCGUAAGCCAGUUGUGGAGGGUUGAGAAGAGAGAAUGCUGGCAUGAGUAACGAAAGAGGGGUGAGAAACCCCUCCGCCGAAUGCCUAAGGGUUCCUGAGUAAAGCUAAUCUGCUCAGGGUUAGUCGGGACCUAAGCCGAGGCCGAAAGGCGUAGGCGAUGGACAACCGGUUGAUAUUCCGGUACCACGUAUUUGCCGCUAUCACCGAUGGCGGGACAAGGUAGGCUAAGGAAUCCCAGGCGAUGGUAGUCCUGGGGUAACCGCGUAGGGUGCUCCGUUGGUAAAUCCGCGGAGUAAGCCUGAGACGGGAGUCCGAGCCAUUUAGGCGAAGUUCCUGAAGCCAUGCCUUCUAGAAAAGCGUCUAGGGAGGCAAAACGUGCCCGUACCAAAACCGACACAGGUAGGCAGGUAGAGAAUACUAAGGCGAUCGGAAGAACCCUCGUUAAGGAACUCGGCAAAAUGGCCCCGUAACUUCGGGAGAAGGGGCGCCCCGGUAGGGUAAAGCUCUUUACGAGCGAAAGCCCGAGGGGGCCGCAGUGAAACGGCCCAAGCGACUGUUUACCAAAAACACAGGUCUCUGCGAAGUCGAAAGACGACGUAUAGGGGCUGACGCCUGCCCGGUGCCGGAAGGUCACGGAGAGAGGUUAGCCGUAAGGCGAAGCUUUGAACCCAAGCCCCGGUAAACGGCGGCGGUAACUAUAACCGUCCUAAGGUAGCGAAAUUCCUU
rnacentral:rRNA from 1 species